rnacentral:rRNA from 1 species
UUUGGUUAAGUUAGAAAGGGCGCACGGUGGAUGCCUUGACACUAGGAGUCGAUGAAGGACGGGACUAACGCCGAUAUGCUUCGGGGAGCUGUAAGUAAGCUUUGAUCCGAAGAUUUCCGAAUGGGGAAACCCACCAUACGUAAUGGUAUGGUAUCCUUAUCUGAAUACAUAGGGUAAGGAAGACAGACCCAGGGAACUGAAACAUCUAAGUACCUGGAGGAAGAGAAAGCAAAUGCGAUUUCCUGAGUAGCGGCGAGCGAAACGGAACAUAGCCCAAACCAAGAGGCUUGCCUCUUGGGGUUGUAGGACAUUCUAUACGGAGUUACAAAGGAACGAGGUAGACGAAGCGACCUGGAAAGGUCCGUCGUAGAGGGUAACAACCCCGUAGUCGAAACUUCGUUCUCUCUUGAAUGUAUCCUGAGUACGGCGGAACACGUGAAAUUCCGUCGGAAUCUGGGAGGACCAUCUCCCAAGGCUAAAUACUCCCUAGUGAUCGAUAGUGAACCAGUACCGUGAGGGAAAGGUGAAAAGCACCCCGGAAGGGGAGUGAAAGAGAUCCUGAAACCGUGUGCCUACAAAUAGUCAGAGCCCGUUAACGGGUGAUGGCGUGCCUUUUGUAGAAUGAACCGGCGAGUUACGAUCCCGUGCGAGGUUAAGCUGAAGAGGCGGAGCCGCAGCGAAAGCGAGUCUGAAUAGGGCGUUUAGUACGUGGUCGUAGACCCGAAACCAGGUGAUCUACCCAUGUCCAGGGUGAAGUUCAGGUAACACUGAAUGGAGGCCCGAACCCACGCACGUUGAAAAGUGCGGGGAUGAGGUGUGGGUAGCGGAGAAAUUCCAAUCGAACCUGGAGAUAGCUGGUUCUCCCCGAAAUAGCUUUAGGGCUAGCCUUAAGUGUAAGAGUCUUGGAGGUAGAGCACUGAUUGGACUAGGGGUCCUCAUCGGAUUACCGAAUUCAGUCAAACUCCGAAUGCCAAUGACUUAUCCUUAGGAGUCAGACUGCGAGUGAUAAGAUCCGUAGUCAAAAGGGAAACAGCCCAGACCGCCAGCUAAGGUCCCAAAGUGUGUAUUAAGUGGAAAAGGAUGUGGAGUUGCUUAGACAACUAGGAUGUUGGCUUAGAAGCAGCCACCAUUUAAAGAGUGCGUAAUAGCUCACUAGUCGAGUGACUCUGCGCCGAAAAUGUACCGGGGCUAAAUACACCACCGAAGCUGCGGAUUGAUACCAUUGGUAUCAGUGGUAGGGGAGCGUUCUAAGGACAGUGAAGUCAGACCGGAAGGACUGGUGGAGUGCUUAGAAGUGAGAAUGCCGGUAUGAGUAGCGAAAGACGGGUGAGAAUCCCGUCCACCGAAUGCCUAAGGUUUCCUGAGGAAGGCUCGUCCGCUCAGGGUUAGUCAGGACCUAAGCCGAGGCCGACAGGCGUAGGCGAUGGACAACAGGUUGAUAUUCCUGUACCACCUCUUUAUCGUUUGAGCAAUGGAGGGACGCAGAAGGAUAGAAGAAGCGUGCGAUUGGUUGUGCACGUCCAAGCAGUUAGGCUGAUAAGUAGGCAAAUCCGCUUAUCGUGAAGGCUGAGCUGUGAUGGGGAAGCUCCUUAUGGAGCGAAGUCUUUGAUUCCCCGCUGCCAAGAAAAGCUUCUAGCGAGAUAAAAGGUGCCUGUACCGCAAACCGACACAGGUAGGCGAGGAGAGAAUCCUAAGGUGUGCGAGAGAACUCUGGUUAAGGAACUCGGCAAAAUGACCCCGUAACUUCGGGAGAAGGGGUGCUUUCUUAACGGAAAGCCGCAGUGAAUAGGCCCAAGCGACUGUUUAGCAAAAACACAGCUCUCUGCGAAGCCGUAAGGCGAAGUAUAGGGGGUGACACCUGCCCGGUGCUGGAAGGUUAAGGAGAGGGGUUAGCGUAAGCGAAGCUCUGAACUGAAGCCCCAGUAAACGGCGGCCGUAACUAUAACGGUCCUAAGGUAGCGAAAUUCCUUGUCGGGUAAGUUCCGACCCGCACGAAAGGUGUAACGAUUUGGGCACUGUCUCAACCAGAGACUCGGUGAAAUUAUAGUACCUGUGAAGAUGCAGGUUACCCGCGACAGGACGGAAAGACCCCGUGGAGCUUUACUGUAGCCUGAUAUUGAAUUUUGGUACAGUUUGUACAGGAUAGGCGGGAGCCUUUGAAACCGGAGCGCUAGCUUCGGUGGAGGCGCUGGUGGGAUACCGCCCUGACUGUAUUGAAAUUCUAACCUACGGGUCUUAUCGACCCGGGAGACAGUGUCAGGUGGGCAGUUUGACUGGGGCGGUCGCCUCCUAAAGUGUAACGGAGGCGCCCAAAGGUUCCCUCAGAAUGGUUGGAAAUCAUUCGUAGAGUGCAAAGGCAUAAGGGAGCUUGACUGCGAGACCUACAAGUCGAGCAGGGACGAAAGUCGGGCUUAGUGAUCCGGUGGUUCCGCAUGGAAGGGCCAUCGCUCAACGGAUAAAAGCUACCCCGGGGAUAACAGGCUUAUCUCCCCCAAGAGUCCACAUCGACGGGGAGGUUUGGCACCUCGAUGUCGGCUCAUCGCAUCCUGGGGCUGUAGUCGGUCCCAAGGGUUGGGCUGUUCGCCCAUUAAAGCGGUACGCGAGCUGGGUUCAGAACGUCGUGAGACAGUUCGGUCCCUAUCCGUCGUGGGCGUAGGAAAUUUGAGAGGAGCUGUCCUUAGUACGAGAGGACCGGGAUGGACGCACCGCUGGUGUACCAGUUGUUCUGCCAAGGGCAUAGCUGGGUAGCUAUGUGCGGAAGGGAUAAGUGCUGAAAGCAUCUAAGCAUGAAGCCCCCCUCAAGAUGAGAUUUCCCAUAGCGUAAGCUAGUAAGAUCCCUGAAAGAUGAUCAGGUUGAUAGGUUCGAGGUGGAAGCAUGGUGACAUGUGGAGCUGACGAAUACUAAUAGAUCGAGGACUUAACCAUAUAA